CAUGGCUAGCAAGUUGUUCCAGCACCACUUAUAAACGGUUGAUCUUUCUGGCCACUUGCUCACAUGCUGUCUUCAGUGAUAUUUGGGCCAAUUCCUGGACUCAAGAUUUUGUUCCUUUUUUUUUUUUUCUGUGGUUCUUUGGCGCUAAGACCACACUGUUUUAAUUACUGUGGCUUUUAAUAUCCCAGAUAACCUCAUGACUCACCUUCUGCAGGUCUUUACUCAAAUACAGCCUUUUCUGUGAGAUCUUCCUCAAGCACCCUAUUUACAAUGCUGGCUUCCCUCUACCCCAACCCCUGCCCGCAACCACCUCCAUAUAGUCUCUGCUUUGCUUUAUUCUUCUCCUUAUCACAUGUUACCAUCUGUUAAUCGACAUAUUUUACUUAUUCAUUUGCGUACUGUCUGCAUAUCUAGACUAAGUUUCAUGAGAUGAUAAGUCCAUGAAAACAGGGAUUUUCAUUUCUUUGACUCACUUUUGUAUCCCCGGUGCCUGGAACACUGCCAAGCACAGAACAGAUUCCCAACAAUAUUUAUUGAAUGAAUGACAAACCGGUAGAGAAAAACAUCCUACAUACAACCACUCCCCACCCCGAUUUUUUUUUCGAGAAUUCGUUGGCUCUUUUUACACAAUCUUUUGUCAUGAAAUAUAGUGCUAAAUUGACCAAGUCAAAAAGAAGAUCCAUGGGAUUUUGAAUGGGCCCAUGUUGAAUACACAGGUUAAUUUAGGAAGAAUUGACAACUUUACAGCUUUGAUUAUUUCCGAGGAAGAUCCAGUUAUUUCCCUAUUUUUUCAAGCCUUCUUUUAUUCCCUCAGUGUAGCAAAAUGAUUUUCUUUGUAAAGGCCCUAUGAAUUUCAUAUGAAGAUUGUUCCCAAUCAUGUUGUGAUGUUUUGUUAUUCAUUCACUUAUUCAAUAAAUGCUUCUUGUUGUCAAUCAUGUGCCAGACACUGUUCUAGGAGCUGGGAAUGCAGCAGUGAACAAAAAAUUGUUCUCUGCCCUCAUGGAUGUCAUGUUCUAAUAAGAAUGGAAUUCUUUUUUCCGUUAUAUUUUUUAACUAGCAAUAUUUGGUAUAAAAGAGAGCUAUUGAGUUUGGGGUACUUCUUUUAACAUAUCUUCUUACUAAAUUCUCUCAUCAUUUCUUUUUUUAAAGACUUUUAUUUUUCCCAUUAUAGUUGGUUUACAGUGUUCUGUCAAUUUUUUACUGUAUAGCAAAGUGACCCAAUCUCUCUCUCUCUCUCUCUCUCUCUCUCUCACACACACACACACACACAUAUUUUUCUCACAUUAUCCUCCAUCUUUUUCCAUCACAAAUGACUAGAUAUAGUUCUAUUUUCCCCUUUUAUCUGUUGGCAAAAUGAAGUUUUCCAAUACAGUCCCUGUAUUUAUCCACAAUUGGAUUUCUGGAAAUUAAUUCCAUAUUUUUAGUCAAGAAGAAAAGUCACAAUUUUUUAAAAAUAUUUAGGACUGUAUAAUAUACCAGAAAUGAAUUUAGGUAUCAAAUUAUCUGAUAUGAUCCAAAUAUCUGAUAUGAUACAAUUGACAAUAGUUGUAUGCAACUGAUGCAAGUCAUUUUGAGAAAAUAUUAAUUUUUUACUCUUUGCUGGCAGACUGUUUAGGAACCUAACUCCCUGAGUCAGCUACUGUUGAGUCUAUUUUUUUAAUAAAACAUAAAACCAUGGUUCUCCAUUGAAAGUUAGAGAACAUAAAAUCUACUGAUUUCUUUUAUAUUACUUUCUGUUUGCCAAUUACUUGUACAAACACUGAAGUAGCUAAAGAUUUAAUUUGCAUAUCCAACCACAAUAAAACAAGGAUGCCUGAGUAAAGUCUUACAUCACAGCUGUAAACUAAGAUUUUCUGAGGAGUUACAUUUGUCCUAAUAAUAUAAGACAGGGAUUAAGAGCAAUUAUACAACACCCAUUUCUGCAACUAAAGAAAUGAGGUUUGGCAGCCUGAAGAGUCUUGAGCAUGCUAACGCUGUCAGUAGCAGAGCGUGGACAAAAACUUUAGUUUUCUGCUUCACAUCAAAUACUCUUUCCACCGUGCUCUCCCUUUCAUUCGGCAUUACCUGCGUCACUAGAAACACUCAAAUAUGUUUCUUCACUUACCUAGAAAUUGUUGUGUUACCUUUGCCUAUUAUUUUAGGAGGAAAUCAUUUCUUAUAAAAUUCACAUAUGGCUUUUGAUUUUGUGGCAUCCUUUUCCUGGAGGUUCAAAGAAUGAGCGUAUGCUUGAAGAGUAAAUUCUUACAACAGGUCUGUGGGGCGGGGGUGUGGGGAGCAGAAAUGAUGAGUCUCCUGUGAUAUAAAUCAACAUUCUAAUCGUUAAAAAAUAGAUGCACUCAUUCAUAAGUGUCACAAAACACUCCAAACUGAAUAGGAAGGAAUAUCUGAAUGGAACUGAUAACAGCCAAGCCUGAAGAGGAAGCACAACAGCCCAUUACGAGCUAUUGAAAAUUUCCAUAGAGAGAAAAAAAAAAAUGACAUACAGCAGGAAAUUCCUGACCAGUAGUGUAAUCUCUUACAUAAAAUGUGUUGGCAGAUAAAUGGAUUUUUAUGAUUUUGCUUACAC
rnacentral:lncRNA from 1 species